GAACUUGUAGGCUCCGCCCAGCGUGAGCAUCUGGGCCCGAUUUUUCAGGCAGUGCCUUGGACAACAGCAACCUUGGAGGACCCCAGCUUGCAGACGGAGACGUGGACCUGACUGGGGCUAGACGCCGCAGAGGAAGUAGGGCUGUUGGACGGAGUUGGCGUGCGGUUUGUGUCCAGACCGGCUGCACCAUGUCGAAGGUUUCCUUUAAGAUCACACUGACGUCGGACCCGCGGCUGCCUUACAAAGUACUCAGUGUUCCUGAAAGUACACCUUUUACAGCAGUCUUAAAGUUUGCAGCAGAAGAAUUUAAAGUUCCUGCAGCAACAAGUGCAAUUAUUACCAAUGAUGGUAUAGGAAUAAAUCCUGCACAGACUGCUGGUCCUGGGCUUGAAAUUUAGCCAUACAGCAAAUGAAGAGGAAUUUUAAAUAAUUUCUUUUUACAUAAAUCAGUUGUUUUACGUGUAUAAUUUUAUUAAAUUAAAAAGGCUAUUUUUGAGAAUCAUGAGGCAUUUUGUUGUAUAGAUGUCUUUAAACUUAGGUUUAAAGGUUUUGCUUUUCCUACUCUAGACAUGCUUGGUAGUUAUAUUAAUUUGAAUCACUGCUUACUCUGACGUGUUGCCUGUUGGAUUUUACCCUGUAAAACUGAAUUGUGGGCAUCACGAGGUGUGAAGAAAACCUCAGCAGGCAACGCAGACCCAAAGAAAUGUUUUUCUAAAGCACGGUUCAGAACUGCGAAUAAUUCCUAGAGAUCGAGUUGGAAGUUGUUAAUAUCUGCUGCUUGGAACAUAAAAUCCCCUUCCAGAAUAAAUAUUGGUGUUGUUAUUGUUGUAAAAUUGGAAUCAGGCAUUUGAAAUCCUAUGAAGACACCAGUAGUUGAUGAAGUAAUGAAAGGUGGCUGUCUGUCCCUUCUUGUUAUUCACACUCUUCACGUGAAGAGGGGCGGCUUCUGCGUUGAGGGUGUCAUCACCACAGAAGAUCACAUUACUACCUCACAGCACACACAGGUAGUUCAUUGGGGGUAAAUGGAUUAUCCAACUGUGUCUUAUAACUGGAGGAUACUUCUGAUCAUUCUUUCUGAGAACAUUUGGAAAAUUAAAAUUUACUGAAUCUUCCUAUUUGUCUUUGAGUUAAUAAUGUAAAAAGAUUAUCAAUCCGUAUGCGGCAGUUUGCUUGAUAGCAUCUGACCUGCAGACACAAAAAUAGUUGAAUUCUUCAUUAAUAUCGUUUAUGAUAAAGGUUCACAUCAAUGAAUAACUAUCUUUUUAUCAUUUAGCUUGUUUUGAAGUUUCAGACUUCUUGAGUUCUUAUUAAUUUUAAUUUGAAAAUCAAAGAGCCAAAAAUUGAUUUUUCGGUCUAGCCCCUUACAUGUAACAUUGGUAUCCCACACCAAAGAGUUUGAGACUAAAGUAGAAACAUCAGUUGCUGAAUUAUGCAUUCCUUUAUUGAUCUCUUUUUUAAAAAAACUUUAAAACAGGAAUCCUCAAGAAACUAUCUUUUUGAGGAUAAUAUAUCUGAAUAGUGUUCAGGGAGAAAGUAUUGUUGUAAAGAGGAUCUGACAUUCACAGCAGAGCUCAAGGAAAUGCUAAUUGAAAUGCUCACUAAUUCUGCUUACUGAAGACCCAACAUUUAAGGAAGUGUUAAGAUUAGUUACUGGAGUGAAUAAGAAGCUAGGAAAGGCAGAUGGGGAAGCCCAGAUGACCAGGCUUCUAGGAAGAAGGAAAGAAACAAAAAUGAGGGGGAGCAGACAGCUGUAAUGAGUGUCACAGAGAAGGCCAAACUGGAUAGACAGAACUGCAGAGGCUAUGUUGGGAAGAACUGAAAGGAAAAUAAAAUACUUGACGUUGUUAUAAGGAGCAGAAGGCAA